AUGAAUUAUCCAUCUUUCCAGGUCAAAAGGUGUUUCAAAUUUAACUCCUCCAGCUUCUCUGAACCUGCGAUGCGCAUGUUGAACAUGCACAGUGUGGGUGUGGUCUUGCUCCCUCUUAGCCUGGUCCUUCUACUGUUUGGAGGAAUCUGUGGCUUGAUCAGUUCCCUGCCCUGGGGCCCCGCCCUCCUCACUAGCACCGUCUCCUAUCUCUUCUUCUGCAGUAAGUGUGGCCUCCAUCAUCAUCAUCAUUAUCUCUCGGUCUUAGGGCCCAAACACCAAGUCUUAGUUCUGCCAUGCCAACUCCUUGUUACUCAUUGUCAUGUUUGGCAUGACAAGAAGUUGACAUUAUGGCACACAAGUAGAUAUGGGAUAAGGGGAAGGCUACCUAACACCUACAGGCCCAAGUCCAAAAUUCACUCCUAUGCAGCAUACUACCAUCCAUAUAGCCUUUUAAAGCAGCGUUAACCAACUCCAGUCCUCCACUACUCCCAACAGCCCAACUCCAGUCCCCCACUACCCCCAGUAGCCCCCCUCCAGUCCCUCACUACCCCCAGUAGCCCCCCUCCAAUGCCCCACUCCAGUCCCCCACUACCCCCGGUAGCCCCCCUCCAGUACCCCACUCCAGUCCCUCACUACCCCCGGUAGCCCCACUCCAGUACCCCUGGUAGCCCCACUCCAGUAGCCCAACUCCAGUACCUGCGGUAGCCCAACUCCUCCAGUACCCCAAUAGCCCAACUCCAGUACCCCCAACAGCCCAACUCCUGUCCCCCACUUCCUCCAAUAGCCCAACUCCAGUCUCCCCUUGUAGGCCAACUUCAGUAACCCUGGUGAGAGAGGCAGCAAGAGAGAGAGAAUUGAGAGAUGAGGGUAUAUAGACAGAGUUGGAGAGAUGCGAUUUUAAUUUAUUUCACCUUUAUUUAACCAGGUGUGCCAGUUGAGGACAAGUUCUCAUUUACAACUGCAACCUGGCCAAGUGUGACAGUGAGACAUAAACAACAACAACAGAGCUACACAUGGGAUAAACACAUGUACAGUCAAUAACACAAUAUAAAAUCAGUGUACAGUGUGUGCAAAUGAGGUAAGGCAAUAAAUAGGCCAUAGUGGCGAAGUAAUUACAGUUUAGCAAUUAACACUGGAGUGAUAGAUGUGCAGAUGAGGAAGUGCAAGUAGAAAUACUGGUGUGCAAAAGUGGUGUGCAGAGAAAAAAAAUGCUGGUGUGCAGAAAAACAAACAUAAAUAUGGGGAUGAGAUAGUUGGUUGGAUGGGCUAUUUACAGAUGGGCUGUGUACAGCUGCAGCGAUCAGUAAGCUGCUCUGACAGCUGAUGCUUAAAGUUAGUGAGAGAGAGAUAAGUCUCCAACUUUAGUGAUUUUUGUAAUUCAUUCCAGUCAUUGGCAGCAAAGAACUGGAAGGAAAGGCGGCCAAAGGAGGUAUUGGCUUUGGGACUGACCAGUGAAAUAUUCCUGCUGGAGUGCGUGCUACGGUUGGGUGUUGCUAUGGUGAGCUGAGAUAAGGCAGAGUUUUAGAUGAAUAUUUCGACGAAUAUGCAGCGAGGACCAGUCAACGAGAGCAUACAGGUUGCAGUGGUGUGAGGUAUAUGGGGCUUUGGUGACAAAAUGGAUGGCACUGUGUGUUAGGAAUUCUAUGAAUAAAUGACUAAACAAUAUCCCCAUUUCAAAUAGAACUGUAACUAAGUAAAUUUAUACUCUGUUUUAUUAUAUCUGAUUAACAAUAUGAAUUCAUAAGUGAGGGAUUGUGGAGCCUGAAACGGGGUAAUUAAAUAAAUACCAUUCCAGCCAGGUUGGAGAAGAUUGGAAGUGUUUUUUUUUAAGUAAGCAGAAAGGGUAAUUAACCUAUGGUUGAACCGACUCAACUUAGCACUGGAAUGUUUAGAUAAGACAUUGAGUGUUUUCUUAGGUUUUCCAUUAGCUGGAACUGUCUGCUGAAGGGUGAUGGAUGAAAAACCUUCUGAAGUUAUCUCGAAUGAACUUUUGAACUGUUGGGAGAAAGAAUAUUUUAUAACCUGUGACGUCAUAUUUUGUAUAUAAACUGUUGUUCAUGGUUACAUGGCAGUGACCUCCGAGAAUAAAUACUAUUA
rnacentral:lncRNA from 1 species